GUACCAGAUUACAAAGUUAAGAAGCUUUUUUAAAAAUUAAACUAGUAUCUCUAUCCAUCAGAUAGCCUUUUAGAUUCUACUUGAAAUAGAGACUUCCUAGCUUAAACUGAUGUUGGGCUUGGAUUAACUAUUUCUAUUCCUCAUCAACUAACGGAAUUUGGGAGACGUACCAACUCUAGAUGUGAGUCACCAACGUUGACAUUUCAAAACAUAGAAAUAUGUUGCUAAACUAAAAAAUGAGAGAAAGUUGUUUAUCCUAAACACUCAGCAAAAAUUAACUUGUUGGGUACAUCCAACCCCUUUUCUCUGUUGCCACCCUUGCCCCACAUGUGCCAGAUGCUUUACAAUGCCUCAUUGAAUCCUAUGACAUCUCUUUGAGGUCAUAUUAUCCAUAUGUGGCAGAUGGGGAAACCGAGGCCAAGAACGUUUAAGGAAUCUUCUGGAGAUCAUUGCUCAUACCUAGAGUUUCUCCACACGUAGUCCGUGGACUACCUGUGUCAGAAUCACUUGUGGUUCUGAAAUGCAUUUUCAGGGGUCUCACCCAGAGCUUCUACGUUUUUGGAAUUGGGACACCUAAAUUUUCAUCUUUUUAACUGCCUCCCUAGGUUGUUCAUGUAAACACCUAAGCAGACCACGACACCUACAACAUGGCUGUUCCUUGACAUUUGUGAAUUCUACCUAUGGACGAGACACAUCUUUGUUAUCUGGCGAUUCUUUGUUGCCUAUUACGUACCUGGAUUAAUCUGGUGUGAAUUACAUCGGGAACUGUGAAAGUCAGCGCCCCAUUUCCUCAGCGUAAAUCUCGCCCUGGUGGAGAGGCUGCGCCAAUAGAAGCUGUCCCUUUGAGAAGCUGGUCAGCCUCCUGCUGAGGGCUCCAGGUUUCAGGCUCCCGUUGACUCCUCCCUCUCAGGUCUUAGCUGGUGCAGCACACGCAGAGGAAAAGCUGGUAGAACAAAGGCAACAAGUGCCCACUUUAUCUAAAGUGACAAGUGUGUCCAAUAAGCCCCAAAGGGGGAUUUAGUGAGGAGGAGCUAUAAACACGUAGACGUAGUCCACCUUCUUGGACCGAGAAGAUGAUGGGGCGGGUG
rnacentral:lncRNA from 1 species